UACAGUGUUAAGUAAAAACCUAGUAGUUUCAUUUACAAAAACAACACCAAACGCGGCCAUAAACUCUAUAUAUAGAUCCCUUUAUUCUUUGCUGUUUGUAUAUCGAUCCAGAUCUGGCUGGUCUAGGUUUGUGAUAAUAAUUUAGCCGGUGUCAUCCGUAGCUGGGGUCCAGACUGAAUCGGGUCGGGUCUAAUAUCGCCAGCCCUGUUACAUUCCAUGGCGUUGCAGUUUGUUAAUGCUUAUGGACGCAGAGACUCACUUAAUCUCCAUCUCCAAGCUGGUGCAGGGAACUCAAACUGCGACAUAUGCGAGUACGCAAUCCACGGCCAGUGCUACAGAACAGCGGGUCACGAGUAUAAAAUUUGCCGCACAUGUUUUGAUAUAUUUGUACAACCCAUCUCAGACUCAAAUAACCCGCUCGACUCGGCUCCACAAUCCGUGAAGCAGCUGGUCUCUUCCAAUGUGCACAUGAAUGUGUACAAUGGGAUGAGUCACAGCCUUUACUGCGACUUGAGAGGCAUGGGGCUGACAUGCAAUAUGUGCGGACGUGCCGGGAAUAGGGCUCGCUGGGCAUACGUUAAUACCUACAACAGAAGUGUUUAUGCAUGUCAUAUUACGUGCGUGGUGCAGAAAAUGGGAGCGAAUCAGAGAGAUGAUUAUUUUAAUUACGAGACGAAUCCGUUUUGGAAAGCUGUGGGGAGACUUAGCUUAAAAGCACUUCAGGAACUAGCGAAUCUGGCGCCCUUUCCGUUUAACUCCGGAAUCAGUAUUAUGCUCAUGUUGACGGCUUACAAGGUUCACACCAGGACUUGAUUGUGCACUGCACUCAUGGAGGAAGUUACAAGUUAUGGCUGUAUAAGAAAUUUCUUCUAUUUUGGGUUUUCAUAUAGGAAAUUGAUAAAUAAGCUCCAUAUUUUACUAUUUAAACUCCAAUUCCCUAUUUUAUACCACAUUUACUCAUGCUUUCUACACAUGUUUCAUUCAUAUUAUAGGUGAUUAUGCUAUUUGAAUAGAGGAAAAAAUUGAAAUGGAGCUUAAAUAGUAAAAUUUGGAGCUUAUUUAUCAAUUCCCUUCAUAUAUAUUAUAUUUUUGUUAUCGGUUUCUUCUGGGAUUUCUAGCCUUCUUUGCCCAGAUGUAUUUUCCUUUUUGAAGGCAAAAAAAGUGAGAUUAACAUUUUUUAUGUAUGAUUAUUGUUUGAUAAGAUUUGAAUUUUCUAGAA